rnacentral:rRNA from 1 species
CAACUUUCAGCAACGGAUCUCUUGGCUCUCGCAUCGAUGAAGAACGCAGCGAAAUGCGAUAAGUAAUGUGAAUUGCAGAAUUCAGUGAAUCAUCGAAUCUUUGAACGCACCUUGCGCCCUUUGGCUAUUCCGAUGGGCAUGCCUGUUUGAGUAUCAUGA